AUUGAACGCUGGCGGCAGGCCUAACACAUGCAAGUCGAGCGGAUGAGUGGAGCUUGCUCCAUGAUUCAGCGGCGGACGGGUGAGUAAUGCCUAGGAAUCUGCCUGGUAGUGGGGGACAACGUUUCGAAAGGAACGCUAAUACCGCAUACGUCCUACGGGAGAAAGUGGGGGAUCUUCGGACCUCACGCUAUCAGAUGAGCCUAGGUCGGAUUAGCUAGUUGGUGAGGUAAAGGCUCACCAAGGCGACGAUCCGUAACUGGUCUGAGAGGAUGAUCAGUCACACUGGAACUGAGACACGGUCCAGACUCCUACGGGAGGCAGCAGUGGGGAAUAUUGGACAAUGGGCGAAAGCCUGAUCCAGCCAUGCCGCGUGUGUGAAGAAGGUCUUCGGGUUGUAAAGCACUUUAAGUUGGGAGGAAGGGCAGUAAGUUAAUACCUUGCUGUUUUGACGUUACCAACAGAAUAAGCACCGGCUAACUUCGUGCCAGCCGCCGCAGUAAGAC
rnacentral:rRNA from 1 species